AGACAGAGUCCCGGCUCACUGCAACCUCUGCCUCCUGGAUUCAAGCAAUUCUACUGCCUCAGCCUCCCAAGUAGCUGGGAUCCAACACCACGCCUGGCUUAUUUUUUAAUUUUUAGUAGAGACGGGGUUUCCCCAUGUUGGCCAUGCUGGUCUUGAAUCCUGAUCUCAGAUGAUCUGCCCACUUUGGUCUCCCAAACUGCUGCAAUUACAGGUGGCCCUAUUUGGAAAGAAGAGGUGGGCUGGAGAGGUGAUAAAUUCAUCCAAGGUAGGGGCUGGACAGAAUUUCUGAAUAAAUCAGCCAACAAAUAUUCACCGAAGCCUACUGAGCACCUGGCCCUGAAUGCACACGCCCCAGCUAAGGACUCUGUGAACAUUUCUUCCUGAGUUGGAGGGGAGUGUUAAGGGGAUGGGGGGUAAGCCCAGUGACCCACAUGCCAUUGCCAGCUCCGACGGUAUGAAGCACCAUCAGCACAAUGUAGGUGAUCUCUCCAAGCAGACCCAGCAAGCUGAAGUUGUAGUGCAUGACGGAGCUGUCAUGAAUCCCCAGCACUCGGUUACAACACACCUGUGGACAAGUGUUAUUAUAAGCAGAUUGGCAGGGUUUCAAAGCCAGAGGAGAUAAAAGAAAUUUGUUCCCCUUGCAAAGAUGAAAAUCAGAUUUGCCCUGGUUUUGGUCAGUCGAAGUAUUGAUACGUUUUUCCUUGUUUAUUUUAUUUUGUUUUUUAAUGACCUCCAGUUCCAUCCAUGUUGCUGCAAAUGACAGGAUUUCAUUCUUUUUAUGGCUAAAUAAUAUUCCACUGUGUAUAUAAACCACUUUUUUUUUUUUUAAGACAGAGUCUUGUUCUGUCGCCCAGGCUGGAGUGCAGUGCCGCGCUUUUGGCUCACUGCAAGCUCUGUCUCCCAGGUUCAAGUGAUUCUCGCGUCUCAGCCUCCUGAGUAGCUAAGAUGACAGGUGCCCGCCAUCACGCCUGGCUAAUUUUUGUACUUUUAGUAGAGAUGGGUUUCACCAUGUUGGCCAGGCUGGUCUUGAACUCCUGACCUCAGGCCAUCUGCCCGCCUCGGCCUCCCAAAGCGCGUGAGCCACUGCGCCCAGCCAGUUUUUCCUAAUUUUAGGUUGGAAUGGACUCCCUGAAUAGCCCCUGUUCAUCCAAAUCCAGCCUUCUAAAAUCUACUCCUUUUUCCUCCAUCAAGUCUUCAAACCCAUGAAGAUUUGUUGUCCCUAAAUAUUUCUCUUAGAGAAGCACAUUAUAACCAAUUGGCUAUAAUGAAGUAUUCUGGAACGAUCAGGAUUUGCUGAGUAUUGGAGAAAGAUCCAUCCACUUAGAAGAAGAAUUAAACAAUCAGAAGUGGACACAACCUGGACCAUCAGCCCAGCACUCCCUCUUCUGGGUGCUGCUCCUCUCACAUCAUCCACGUGGUUCCCCGGCAGCAGCCACAUAUGCACGAUGUGCCCACCCCCAGCUGAAGACAACAUUAUCCAAGUUAAACCAAAGAGCCCCUUCUCCAGAGAAUUUGGGAUUGGGGCCAAGAGAUUCCAUCCACCAGGCUGCUUUCUUGAAGCAAAAGACUACACCCCAAAAUGUGGGGUGAAAGAGGAGGAAGCAGGUCUAUAGAGUAAGAAUAAAGCAGAUAUUGAGGAAGAGCAAAGAAAGAAGUAAAACAGGGGCUUCGGGGCUCCCCACAACACUCCAGUCCCUGUCCUUGAGUUCUGUGACACCCCAGUAGCCUGAUAACAAAUUCUCCUCAGUGCCCAAGCAAGCUCAAAUGGGUUCUGCCACCUGCUCCCCAGCAUCUUAACAAAUGUGCCACCGAGCCAGGAUGGAUCCCUCACUAGGCGUUGAAGCCAAUAAGAGAAUGCGCCGACACCUGCCUAAUGCAGCUGUGCACUGCACAGUGGCCCAUCAGGUCCCAGCGUCCUGCUGGCCUUCAGCCAAAGCAGAGGGGGUUAGUUGUCUAGUUUCUUACCGGCAGGCACUUGGCUCCCCCGCUGGAGAUCAGCCCAGCCACAAGACCCAGCACCAUGGCAAGCCACGGAGAAGUAAUCAGGUGACAUGAGGUACCCACAGCCACGCCUCCUGCCAACACCGCAUUGUGCAUAUAAGUCUGCAAAGAAAUAGCUCGUGGGUAAAGGAAGCAAGGUAGAGAGAGAACACCAUCUUGCUGCAAGUGACCAGCAUGCUGGGAACAAGGCAACCCUGUAACAUCCUCCCUGCUUUGCUGAUCCUGAAACCACCUCUCCCCUGUGUUGGGGCUACGUGUCCUUCAUCAGUGGACAUGAUGGGCCAGCUCACUACUGCCUCUUAGGCUCAGGGCACAGUUAGCCUGAUUGUGCAGCAUUUAGGGAAUGAGCUGGGAAGUCCAGGUGCUCAGCAUCCUAGCCACCCAUCACACUCAUUAGUGGUGUGUCCCUGGGCAGCGGGAAGAAUGGGUUUUUGUUUUAUUUUUUAGAGAUAUGGUCUUGCUAUGUUGCCUGGGCUGGUCUUGAACUCCUGGCCUCAACCAAUCCUCUUGCCUCAGCCUCCCAAAAUAUUGGGAUUACAGGUGUGAGCCACUGCACCUGGCCUAGAAGAAUGGGGUUUUGGAUGUACCUUCUUCGUAAGGUUAUUGUAAGGAUUAAAUGAGUUUCCACGUAUGAAGCUCUUAGCCCAGUGUCUGGCAUAGAACAUGAAUAAAUGCCCAGUAGACACAAA